AGAACGAACGCUGGCGGCAGGCUUAACACAUGCAAGUCGAACGCUCGUAGCAAUACGGGAGUGGCAGACGGGUGAGUAACGCGUGGGAACAUACCCUCCGGUUCGGAAUAGCUCAGGGAAACUUGGAUUAAUACCGGAUACGGCUGAGAGGCGAAAGAUUUAUCGCCGGAGGAUUGGCCCGCGUUCGAUUAGCUUGUUGGUGAGGUAACGGCUCACCAAGGCGAUGAUCGAUAGCUGGUCUGAGAGGAUGAUCAGCCACAUUGGGACUGAGACACGGCCCAAACUCCUACGGGAGGCAGCAGUGGGAAUAUUGGACAAUGGGCGCAAGCCUGAUCCAGCCAUGCCGCGUGAGUGAUGACGGCCUUAGGGUUGUAAAGCUCUUUCGCUCGGGACGAUAAUGACGGUACCGAGAUAAGAGCCCCGGCUAACUUCGUGCCAGCAGCCGC
rnacentral:rRNA from 1 species